GGGCUUGUGGUGUGAAGGGGAACAUCUCUCCCUUGCAAGGAGAGGAUCAGGGUUCGAGUCCCUGCGGGUCCA
rnacentral:tRNA from 1 species